AUUGAACGCUGGCGGCAUGCCUUACACAUGCAAGUCGAACGGUAACGGGCCUUCGGGUGCCGACGAGUGGCGAACGGGUGAGUAAAGUAUCGGAACGUGCCAUUUAGUGGGGGAUAACGUAGCGAAAGUUACGCUAAUACCGCAUAUUCUGUGAGCAGGAAAGCGGGGGAUCGCAAGACCUCGCGCUAGAGGAGCGGCCGAUAUCAGAUUAGCUAGUUGGUGGGGUAAAGGCCUACCAAGGCUACGAUCUGUAGCGGGUCUGAGAGGAUGAUCAGCCACAGUGGGACUGAGACACGGCCCAGACUCCUACGGGAGGCAGCAGUGGGGAAUUUUGGACAAUGGGGGCAAGCCUGAUCCAGCCAUGCCGCGUGAGUGAAGAAGGCCUUCGGGUUGUAAAGCUCUUUCGGACAGAAAGAAAUCGCAUGGGCUAAUACCCUGUGUGGAUGACGGUACUGUAAGAAGAAGCACCGGCUAACUACGUGCCAGCAGCCGCGGUAA
rnacentral:rRNA from 1 species